rnacentral:rRNA from 1 species
AGAGUUUGAUCAUGGCUCAGGAUGAACGCUAGCGGCAGUAAUACAUGCAAGUCGUGGGGCANNNNNNGUAGCAAUACCUGGCGGCGACCGGCAAACGGGUGCGGAACACGUACGCAACCUUCCUUUAAGCGGGGAAUAGCCCAGGGAAACUUGGAUUAAUACCCCAUAAGAUUAUGGUGUGGCAUCACACAGUAAUUAAAGCUCCGGCACUUAAAGAUGGGCGUGCGGCUGAUUAGGUAGUUGGCGGGGUAACGGCCCACCAAGCCUACGAUCAGUAACUGGUGUGAGAGCACGACCAGUCACACGGGCACUGAGACACGGGCCCGACUCCUACGGGAGGCAGCAGUAAGGAAUAUUGGUCAAUGGACGCAAGUCUGAACCAGCCAUGCCGCGUGGAGGAUGAAGGCCCUCUGGGUUGUAAACUUCUUUUAUCUGGGAAGAAACCCAUCUUUUCUAAGGUGGUUGACGGUACCAGUUGAAUAAGCACCGGCUAACUCCGUGCCAGCAGCCGCGGUAAUACGGAGGGUGCAAGCGUUAUCCGGAUUCACUGGGUUUAAAGGGUGCGUAGGUGGGCAGGUAAGUCAGUGGUGAAAUCUCCGGGCUUAACCCGGAAACUGCCGUUGAUACUAUCUGUCUUGAAUAUAGUGGAGGUGAGCGGAAUAUGUCAUGUAGCGGUGAAAUGCUUAGAUAUGACAUAGAACACCCAUUGCGAAGGCAGCUCGCUACACUAUCAUUGACACUGAGGCACGAAAGCGUGGGGAUCAAACAGGAUUAGAUACCCUAGUAGUCC